CACGUGGGGGACGAGCGUUGUCCGGAUUCAUUGGGCGUAAAGCGCGCGUAGGCGGCUCGGAACGUCGGUCGUGAAAUCCCGGGGCUCAACCUCGGAACUGCCUUUGAUACUGCAAAUCUCGAGUCCGGAAGAGGUGAGUGGAAUUCCUAGUGUAGAGGUGAAAUUCGUAGAUAUUAGGAAGAACACCAGUGGCGAAGGCGGCUCACUGGUCCGGUACUGACGCUGAGGUGCGAAAGCGUGGGGAGCAAACAGG
rnacentral:rRNA from 1 species